rnacentral:lncRNA from 1 species
CCUGAUUUAUUUUUUCUGUUGUAAGAGUUUUAUUUUUAAUUUAUAUGUCUGCUGGUUCAUCAUUAACACUUAAGUCAGAUAUGCCUGUCCUCCUGCAGUGAAGGUCCUUAUUCACCCCUGGAAUGAAGCUCCUUUCCUGCAGUUGGACUUCUAAAGAAGCAAGGUGGUGUCCCUGAGCUGUAUUUAACUGGUGGGCAAUUGAGCAGGAGUAAAACAAGGAAAAUAAUGAAAGAACAUGAUUUAUGUUGAUUCACAAACAAGAGAACACAAGCUAUCCCACUGACCUGGCUUAAGCUAAUGAGAUGAACUGGAAAGAGUACUGAAGAACUCGAUUUGGUGCCAUGAAGCUGGGUCCCUAAAGAGGUUUAAUCAGUGAAUAACAUGUUGUGUCCCUGAUGGCAUUAUUCUUCCUAUUUUUUGCUGUCAUAAUACACUGGGAUUUGGAAGGUCUUGUAGCCAGCAGAGAAAGGAAGACAUUAAUAGCGGGAGCUGCGGCAUCUAGCAGCAGGGACUCUAAGGAGUGUAUGUUAGAACUGGGAGGAGGAGAAAGAAAAUUCGGAAAUCUGCAGCUGUGUCUCCAUUGUCUUGACCAAUAUUCCAAUUAUCUACUCGGAUCUGCUGCAGUGGUGAAAGACAAAGACAAAACACGCUUUCAGCCUGUGCUCACUCAGUGGUGGAACAGAUGGUGCACAAUUCGGGCAUGCAACUCCACAUAUGAGAAAUGCUUUACGAAUGCCACACAUCUCUGUUAUGUAGCAAUGACUGCAUGCCAGGACAACAUUCUACUCCAGAAGGUCCAUGCCAACACAAUAAAGAAGGGAAAUGACAUCUUACUUGUUGGAGUAAAGAAACUGCCAUGCAAACAAUAA